rnacentral:rRNA from 1 species
CUUUAAGCCUUCCCACAACACCAAAUGUACCCAUAGGCUUAAAAUUCACUCAAAUAAGGUACAGCCUAUUUGAAACAGGACACAACCUGCAACAGAGGGUAAUACAUAAACUAACGUGACCAAGUAGGCCUAAAAGCAGCCACCUUUUAAAAAGCGUUACAGCCUUAUCACAUUGUAUCAUUAAUUCCAACCUUAGCCCAAAACCCCUUACCUAUACUGAAUGACCCCAUACCUCUAUGGAAGCCAUUAUGUUAAAACUAGUAACAAGAAUAUUUAUUCUCCCAUAAAUGUAAGUGUAAGCCGAAAUGGACCACCCAUCGGCACUUACCGCCAAUGAACCCACAGUAAUAACCCCCCCCCCCCCAAAAACCCUUUUUCCCCCCCC